GGGGAUCUAGCUCACUUGGUAGAGCGCCCGCUUCGCAUGCGGGAGGCACCGGGAUCGAUGCCCGGGUUCUCCA
rnacentral:tRNA from 1 species